AAAGCUGUAAGGGCAGAAGUGUCAUUUAAACAAAAAUAACUGAUUUGGGAUCUCCUGUAUGGGACAAAAGUGCUUACGAGUUACCAGUGUUUAUCCACACCGGAAUCAAUGGUUAGAGCUGAUCCAUUUUUGCCUUCAGUGUUUCUUUCACAAUACACACAGCAUGUACAUUUUUUGAUGCAAUACUUUGGAAGAAAGGAGUUGUACAGCUUCAUCGGUGCUGCAUGGUUUCCUUUUUUUGCUGUGUGCUUCCCUCCAGCCUGGCUGUCUGUGUCCACCUGUCGCCCCUGCUCUUAUGUUUCCAUUUGUCUACCCUGCAAAGUUUGGAUUUGUUUCACAUUUAUGGCAUGCAGUGGAGCAAUGGGAAGAGGAAAUAAUCCUUCAGCCCACCUUCC
rnacentral:lncRNA from 1 species